CGUAACCGGCGUUACGUAAUCACGCAGCCCUCGCCUCGAGCUCCAGCAGGCUAAUAUAAAUAAUGAUUUAUUUCUGUUCAGGAGAGAAACUGCGGCGGAGCUGGAGGAACAGCAGCCCACUUGAGAGGAGCUUCAGACCGGCCCUGAGGUGCCGGUAACGAGGGAGAUGUGGGAGUGGAGGAUGAAGAGGAGACAGAAGAGAUUGAGGAUGAAGGCAGUGAGGAAGAUGAGGAAGAUGGGGAGAAUGAAGAAGAGAUGAGAAGCGAAGAGGAGGAAGAGCAAGCCAACAGGGGGUGCACGGAUGAAGACUACACGCCUGAGGAGGAGGAUGAGGAAGAGGAGGAAGCUGAAUUACGUAUCACUGCACAUGAUUUCUGACCACAAAGAACAGCAGACUCAGAAGACACAAGACGCCAACAGAGCAAUUCCAGACGAAGAGAAGAGAAGAGCAGUGAAAUCAGGUCCUGAAACACCAGCCAGCGUUCUCUAAAACGAAGGUUCUACAAAGGGUUUUCUGAGCGAUGCCUAAGAAGAACCACUUUCAGAUUUGUUUUUAAAUGGGAUGUGGGUGUGAAGAACUUUUUACCCUGAAGACCUGAUGGACCUGGUGGAGCAGUUCAAGAUCUAAUCAUGUGGAACAUCAUGCUUAUGCACUUUCUGAAACCUUGCUUUUUUAGUGUGGCCUUAAAAUAACAAAGUAAAGAAAAACAUUUUUGAAAAA